AGAGUUUGAUCAUGGCUCAGGAUGAACGCUAGCUACAGGCUUAACACAUGCAAGUCGAGGGGCAGCAUGGUCUUAGCUUGCUAAGGCCGAUGGCGACCGGCGCACGGGUGAGUAACACGUAUCCAACCUGCCGUCUACUCUUGGACAGCCUUCUGAAAGGAAGAUUAAUACAAGAUGGCAUCAUGAGUCCGCAUGUUCACAUGAUUAAGGGUAUUCCGGUAGACGAUGGGGAUGCGUUCCAUUAGAUAGUAGGCGGGGUAACGGCCCACCUAGUCUUCGAUGGAUAGGGGUUCUGAGAGGAAGGUCCCCCACAUUGGAACUGAGACACGGUCCAAACUCCUACGGGAGGCAGCAGUGAGGAAUAUUGGUCAAUGGGCGAGAGCCUGAACCAGCCAAGUAGCGUGAAGGAUGACUGCCCUAUGGGUUGUAAACUUCUUUUAUAAAGGAAUAAAGUCGGGUAUGCAUACCCGUUUGCAUGUACUUUAUGAAUAAGGAUCGGCUAACUCCGUGCCAGCAGCCGCGGUAAUACGGAGGAUCCGAGCGUUAUCCGGAUUUAUUGGGUUUAAAGGGAGCGUAGAUGGAUGUUUAAGUCAGUUGUGAAAGUUUGCGGCUCAACCGUAAAAUUGCAGUUGAUACUGGAUAUCUUGAGUGCAGUUGAGGCAGGCGGAAUUCGUGGUGUAGCGGUGAAAUGCUUAGAUAUCACGAAGAACUCCGAUUGCGAAGGCAGCCUGCUAAGCUGCAACUGACAUUGAGGCUCGAAAGUGUGGGUAUCAAACAGGAUUAGAUACCCUGGUAGUCCACACGGUAAACGAUGAAUACUCGCUGUUUGCGAUAUACAGCAAGCGGCCAAGCGAAAGCGUUAAGUAUUCCACCUGGGGAGUACGCCGGCAACGGUGAAACUCAAAGGAAUUGACGGGGGCCCGCACAAGCGGAGGAACAUGUGGUUUAAUUCGAUGAUACGCGAGGAACCUUACCCGGGCUUAAAUUGCAGAUGAAUUACGGUGAAAGCCGUAAGCCGCAAGGCAUCUGUGAAGGUGCUGCAUGGUUGUCGUCAGCUCGUGCCGUGAGGUGUCGGCUUAAGUGCCAUAACGAGCGCAACCCUUGUUGUCAGUUACUAACAGGUCAUGCUGAGGACUCUGACAAGACUGCCAUCGUAAGAUGUGAGGAAGGUGGGGAUGACGUCAAAUCAGCACGGCCCUUACGUCCGGGGCUACACACGUGUUACAAUGGGGGGUACAGAGGGCCGCUACCACGCGAGUGGAUGCCAAUCCCAAAAACCUCUCUCAGUUCGGACUGGAGUCUGCAACCCGACUCCACGAAGCUGGAUUCGCUAGUAAUCGCGCAUCAGCCACGGCGCGGUGAAUACGUUCCCGGGCCCUGUACACACCGCCCGUCAAGCCAUGGGAGCCGGGGGUACCUGAAGUGCGUAACCGCGAGGAGCGCCCUAGGGUAAAACUGGUGACUGGGGCUAAGUCGUAACAAGGUA
rnacentral:rRNA from 1 species